rnacentral:tRNA from 2 species
GCCGAAGAUAGGUUAUUUCCUGCCUGCUAAGCUUGGAGAUUUGCAGCUCAAUUCUGUGAUUUCGGUG